ACACAAAUGGAAACAUUUUUUAAAUGUUGAACCAUACUGAGAGGGUGUCAUAGGUUUGUUGUUAUUCUUCAACUAUUUCCUUGGUAGAUAUUUAUUAUUUGUCUUAUUUUUUUUUGUUUUGAAAUGUGAGUACUUAUUAUCAUCAUGUUAUAACUGUAUAGGUGUUCUUUUUUUUAUCAACAUUUCUUGGAGUCUAAAAAAAUACUAAAACAUAUCACAGUUGUAUCACUAGUAUAAAAUGUGACUCUAGUAUCACUAGUGCAUUCGAUAAUCUGCAGGAUCCUGCAGUUUCUCUCUGCACCUUUGGAACAACAAACUCAACAAGUGGAGCAAUACCACCGUCAAUCCUAUAGUCAAAAAAAUACAGAUCUGUAAAAGGGAAAAGUCUUCCAAAUUCUUCUGGCUCAACUCAUGCUUCAGUUUUUGUAAAGGAAAAUGCAGGAGAUCAAAUUUGAAUAAUGCCCCCAGGUCAACUCAAUAUAUUGAAGCGAGCAAUAUAGUUUAUUUGAACUAUUAUUAUAUAUGUUUGAAUACAUUGUGAAAUUUAUUUGUAGUACACAUCUUUAAGAUAUUUCUUUCUAAGUAUGUAGUACGAGACA